GUGGGGAAUCUUGCGCAAUGGGCGAAAGCCUGACGCAGCCAUGCCGCGUGAAUGAUGAAGGUCUUAGGAUUGUAAAAUUCUUUCACCGGGGACGAUAAUGACGGUACCCGGAGAAGAAGCCCCGGCUAACUUCGUGCCAGCAGCCGCGGUAAUACGAAGGGGGCUAGCGUUGCUCGGAAUUACUGGGCGUAAAGGGCGCGUAGGCGGAUCGUUAAGUCAGGGGUGAAAUCCCAGAGCUCAACUCUGGAACUGCCCUUGAUACGAGCGAUCUUGAGUGUGAGAGAAGUAUGUAGAACUCCGAGUGUAGAGGUGAAAUUCGUAGAUAUUCGGAAGAACACCAGUGGCGAAGGCGACAUACUGGCUCAUUACUGACGCUGAGGCGCGAAAGCGUGGGGAGCAAACAGGAUUAGAUACCCGAGUAGUCC
rnacentral:rRNA from 1 species